UUUAUUCUUUCAUAGAUCUUACAAGUGCUCCUCCUCCCAGCCCUACUACACCGGCUUCCAAUGCUACUACGCUGCCUUCCAACACUACCACUGAGUCUUCCAAUACUACCACAGCCACUUCUGCUACCACAGCCGUUACUACUAUAGCUAACGUCACCAAUGCCACCACACAUACUCCUCUGUCUACAACUGCCGUUCCUUCAGCUACCACAACACCCACUACUCCAGGUACGAAUGCCACCGUGACCCCUGCACCUUUUUCACGCAAGUCUACGUUCGAUGCUGCAAGUUUCAUAGGUGGAAUUGUCCUUGUCCUGGGUCUGCAGGCUGUUGUCUUCUUCCUGUACAAAUUCUGCAAGUCCAAAGACCGAAACUACCACACGCUUUAGGACUUGCCACGUUCCCCUGGACUAGUAGCUCGACACCUGUAGUUCACCGAACCAAAAUAUUUUCUGUUGCUCAUGGAAGACAGCAGUUCCUAAUAUCCUUUAAAUCUCUAAAAGAAGACUUUCAAAGAAUAUUUUUGCAACCUUAUACUUGGCAAGAGGUGAUACGAAUUUCUUCAACAGGAUUACUUGCAAUAUGCUGCAUGGGUUCUAAUGGCUGUCUUAUUUUCCUUUAGUGGCUGCUGCUGUGGGACCUUUUUGUUUUUUGGUAUGCCAAAUGUAGAUGUUCAGAGAUGAUUCAGUAGCAACACCAUCUUGAGCAGACAAUCUCAUGAUGACUUAUUCUGAUGGCUAAUCAGCAUCUGAUACAGUAUCCUUUCACUUUUACCAAGAUGUGAAUUAUUGGUGACUGACUUCAGGGAGUGAAAUGCCAUUUGUGUUAGUUUAUGGCUCUGCUAGAAAGAUGGACAAAAUUGUAGCAGGUAGUACCUUAACAGAAUAACACAACCCAUAGUUGUUUUUACAGGAGAAUAAAGGUUGCCUGAUCAAAUACUGCAUUCCAAACAGAACUCCUCUACCCUUUCCAAUUAAUUUUGAGGGAGGAGAGGGGGUGCAGGGAUAAUCCUUCUAAAGGGGAGAUGAAGAUUAGUGCCUUAAAAAGACUAAAAUUCAGUAGGCUGCAGAAGUGUCCCACCCAUCUCAGAUAAAUAAGACCAUUAAAUGCUAGAUUUGUGUAGGAGAAUGGAACACAUGUGACUUGAGCAUUCCAGUUUAAAAACUUUUCACAGUAAAUAAUUGUCCCUUACUGACCUUGUUUGAGGGUGAGGGAGCGUGGUACGGCAGUGCUGAGCUACAAAGAGAAGCUUUAAGUUGUUUACUUUUUUCCUUCUGACCUACAAAGACCAACCACAAUAAUAGUGAUAAAAUUCAGUUCACUCCCUGUCUACAAAGGCAACAACUUAGAUUUAUACUUGAAAUACUGGUGUUUAGGAAAGCCUGAAGUCUUUCCUACUCAAAUGGUUUUUAAACUCAUUGCAGUUAAUUUUAGGGUCUUGGUUGUUGGGGUGUUUUUACCUGCUGAAGGAGCAGUUAAGGGUGGUUCAGAGGAUUUGCUGAUUGAUCCCGGUCAGAAUUGCUGUAGCUCUGGGGCUGCCAGGGCUACACCUUUUUUUCCCCCUUUCUUUCCCCUCCUUGUUUCCUGGCAUCAGAUGCAUGGCACCUUGCUGUGAUCUGCUUAAGGAAAUCUGUUUGGCCAAAUAGUAUUUAGUUGUUUUUUCCUUGAUUGGAUCAGCCAUGUCAUCUGAGCAUCAAAGGUACGUCAUCUCCCAUGCAGACUGACUUGAGCACCUCUAGACAUAAACCCACAGGGAAAAUGGAAGUUGAGAUAGAAUCAAGUGGUGGGUGUAGCACAUAGUCCUUAGCUUUUGAUGCUAUCCCUUGAUCAUCCAUUUCAGGGUAAUCUGUAGUACUGUGUUGCUAGCUCUGACUGAACUGGAAUUUGGCAC